rnacentral:rRNA from 1 species
GGGAGGGAAGCUUGCUUUCCUUGCCGGCGACCGGUGCACGGGUGAGUAACACGUAUGCAACCUGCCCUCUUCAGGGGGACAACCUUCCGAAAGGGAGGCUAAUCCCGCGUAUAUCGGUUUCGGGCAUCCGAGAUCGAGGAAAGAUUCAUCGGAAGAGGAUGGGCAUGCGGCGCAUUAGCUAGACGGCGGGGUAACGGCCCACCGUGGCGACGAUGCGUAGGGGUUCUGAGAGGAAGGUCCCCCACACUGGUACUGAGACACGGACCAGACUCCUACGGGAGGCAGCAGUGAGGAAUAUUGGUCAAUGGGAGAGAUCCUGAACCAGCCAAGCCGCGUGAGGGAAGACGGCCCUAUGGGUUGUAAACCUCUUUUGUCGGAGAACAAAACCCGGGACGAGUCCCGGACUGCGUGUAUCCGAAGAAAAAGCAUCGGCUAACUCCGUGCCAGCAGCCGCGGUGAUACGGAGGAUGCGAGCGUUAUCCGGAUUUAUUGGGUUUAAAGGGUGCGUAGGCGGUCCGUUAAGUCAGCGGUAAAAUUGCGGGGCUCAACCCCGUCGAGCCGUUGAAACUGGCAGACUUGAGUUGGCGAGAAGUACGCGGAAUGCGCGGUGUAGCGGUGAAAUGCAUAGAUAUCGCGCAGAACUCCGAUUGCGAAGGCAGCGUACCGGCGCCAGACUGACGCUGAGGCACGAAAGCGUGGGGAUCGAACAGGAUUAGAUACCCUGGUAGUCCACGCAGUAAACGAUGAAUGCUGGUUGUCCGGGUCGAAUGA